rnacentral:rRNA from 1 species
CUCCUACGGGAGGCAGCAGUGGGGAAUUUUGGACAAUGGGGGCAACCCUGAUCCAGCCAUGCCGCGUGAGUGAAGAAGGCCUUCGGGUUGUAAAGCUCUUUCGGCCGGGAAGAAAUCGUAUCAGCUAAUACCUGGUGCGGAUGACGGUACCGGCAUAAGAAGCACCGGCUAACUACGUGCCAGCAGCCGCGGUAAUACGUAGGGUGCGAGCGUUAAUCGGAAUUACUGGGCGUAAAGCGUGCGCAGGCGGUUUUGUAAGACAGGCGUGAAAUCCCCGGGCUCAACCUGGGAACUGCGUUUGUGACUGCAAGGCUAGAGUACGGCAGAGGGGGAUAGAAUUCCGCGUGUAGCAGUGAAAUGCGUAGAUAUGCGGAGGAACACCGAUGGCGAAGGCAGCAUUCUGGGCCGGUACCGACGCUGAGGAGCGAAAGCGUGGGGAGCAAACAGGAUUAGAUACCCUGGUAGUCCACGCCGUAAACGUUGAAUACUAGGUGUUGGGGACUUAUCCACGUCCUCGGUGCCGAAGCUAACGCAUUAAGUAUUCCGCCUGGGGAGUACGGCCGCAAGGCUAAAACUCAAAGGAAUUGACGG